GACGAACGCUGGCGGCGUGCUUAACACAUGCAAGUCGAGCGAGAGAAGUUCCUUCGGGAAGGACUCUAGCGGCGGACGGGUGAGUAACACGUGGGUAACCUGCCCCAUAGAGGGGAAUAGCCUUUCGAAAGGAAGAUUAAUACCGCAUAAGAUUGUAGUAUCGCAUGAUACAGCAAUUAAAGGAGUAAUCCGCUAUGAGAUGGACCCGCGUCGCAUUAGCUAGUUGGUGAGGUAACGGCUCACCAAGGCGACGAUGCGUAGCCGACCUGAGAGGGUGAUCGGCCACAUUGGGACUGAGACACGGCCCAGACUCCUACGGGAGGCAGCAGUGGGGAAUAUUGCACAAUGGGGGAAACCCUGAUGCAGCAACGCCGCGUGAGUGAUGACGGUCUUCGGAUUGUAAAACUCUGUCUUCAGGGACGAUAAUGACGGUACCUGAGGAGGAAGCCACGGCUAACUACGUGCCAGCAGCCGCCGUAA
rnacentral:rRNA from 1 species